rnacentral:rRNA from 1 species
UACGAAGGGGGCUAGCGUUGUUCGGAUUUACUGGGCGUAAAGCGCACGUAGGCGGAUCGUUAAGUCGGGGGGGAAAUCCUGGAGCUCAACUCCAGAACUGCCUUCGAUACUGGCGAUCUUGAGUCCGGAAGAGGUGAGUGGAACUCCUAGUGUAGAGGUGGAAUUCGUAGAUAUUAGGAAGAACACCAGUGGCGAAGGCGGCUCACUGGUCCGGUACUGACGCUGAGGUGCGAAAGCGUGGGGAGCAAACAGG